UACGUAGGUGGCAAGCGUUGUCCGGAAUUAUUGGGCGUAAAGCGCGCGCAGGCGGUCCUUUAAGUCUGAUGUGAAAGCCCACGGCUCAACCGUGGAGGGUCAUUGGAAACUGGAGGACUUGAGUACAGAAGAGGAAUGCGGAAUUCCACGUGUAGCGGUGAAAUGCGUAGAGAUGUGGAGGAACACCAGUGGCGAAGGCGGCAUUCUGGUCUGUAACUGACGCUGAGGCGCGAAAGCGUGGGGAGCAAACAGG
rnacentral:rRNA from 1 species